AUACGUGCUCCGGGGUCGGUGUAAGUCCGAACCGGCGGUGAUAGUCCGCGACCCGCGAGCCGGUGCUUUUCUUCGGAAAAUCCCGGCGGACGGUUGAACUGGUGAAAUUCCGGUACCGACAGUUAAAGUCUGGAUGAGAGAAGCACGUAC
rnacentral:ncRNA from 2 species